AAAAAAAAAAAGGAACAGUUAUUAAAGUUAAUGAAGUUUUAUAUGAUGAAAUCUUCAAAACAAAAAGACCUGAGAUCAAAGAAGAAGACGGUUGUGGGGAUGACUGGACACAAGAACUUGAUCUAAUGGAGACAAACUAUGGGAUGUUCCCAGCAAGGCCUCUCGGUUUGGAUUCUCCAUGAUCUCCAGAUGUAGGCAGGGUUCUCCUGGGCUGAAAGGGUUCUCCUUUCCAGCCAAGAUAGGUCAGCAAAUUCCCAUAUAACUGCUUUCCAAGGAAAGCCAGCAGAAGAUCAAAAAGCUACUAAGAUUUCCUGACUUGCUUCUGUGAAAGGGAUUCUAGCUUUUGUCACCCACCUCCAGGAAGCGAAAUUCCAAGUUGCUCUGGCCUGCUUAGGGAGAACUGAGAGAGGAAAUGCUGGUGGGAGUCGAUGGGACCCUGAUUCUGAGGCCCUCUAAGUCUCCUUCAAGUCAAGAGGGCUUAAACUUGAAGAAAUGGAUGUCUGGCCAAAGUUAUGGAUCCUGGGUGAAGUCAUGGGUCUUCAGCCUUCCUGCCACACAUGCCUAAUUCUCUUUGUGGCCGCAGCCAGAGUGGAGAGUCCAUGAAGAACUUGCAGGGAGGAAUUUUAUCAGAAGAGCUGUAGUGGCCUCUACUCCAACAGGGGGACAGACAGCAUGGCUGAUGGAAAGGUUGGUCCACCAAGUAGCAUGGCCCAGUCCCUCCAAGGCUUGCAUGUAACUCUCCUGUUUGGUAGUAUAGCACUGACUGUGCUGUCCCAAUGCCUGUGCGCCAGAGCCUGAGUUCCAGUCAGUGCCUUACAUUACGGUGGACUGGGAGUGAGGAGGAGGUGCUGGCAGUGUUCUCAACAGCGCCACCAUUUGGUUAACUGUGCAGUGGAAACCAAGACUCAGAUGUGUGAGUGUUGCUGCUACUUUUAUGUUGUAUUUCAGGGUGUUCCACGUAGUGUCUGGAAUGGGGGCAUCUGUCUAACUGGUGCUUAGUAACA